AUUGAACGCUGGCGGCAUGCUUUACACAUGCAAGUCGAACGGUAACAGGCCUUCGGGUGCUGACGAGUGGCGAACGGGGGAGUAAUGCAUCGGAACGUGCCCAGAGGUGGGGGAUAACGCAGCAAAAGCUGUGCUAAUACCGCAUGUGAUCUGAGGAUGAAAGCGGGGGACCAAGCAGCAAUGUUUGGCCUCGCGCCUCUGGAGCGGCCGAUGUCAGAUUAGGUAGUUGGUGGGGUAAAGGCCUACCAAGCCGACGAUCUGUAGCUGGUCUGAGAGGACGACCAGCCACACUGGAACUGAGACACGGCCCAGACUCCUACGGGAGGCAGCAGUGGGGAAUUUUGGACAAUGGGCGCAAGCCUGAUCCAGCAAUGCCGCGUGAGGGAAGAAGGCCUUCGGGUUGUAAAACGCUUUUGUACGGAACGAAAAGGCUCUGGCUAAUACCUGGGGAUGAUGACGGUACCGUAAGAAUAAGCACCGGCUAACUACGUG
rnacentral:rRNA from 1 species